AAAAAAUCACAACACCAUUCGUUCCGCCGAAAUUAGCUCUUGAACAGCACACAUCCUUAGAUACAAAUCUCAAAAUGUUAUAAUUCAGCCAUGCUUUUGUUAAUUCAUCCUACGACAAGAACCAAAUGCUUUAUAAUCUACGCAGGUGACGUCAUACCUUGGAUCGUUGUCGCUGUUGUAUUUAUCGUUAUCACCAUCGCCCUUAUAUUUGCUGUUGUUUAUCUCUGCCUUCAAGUAGGAAAAUACAAAAAACGUUUACGUGAGCGUGUGGAGUACCAGGGGAUUAACACCGGAUUCUCUAAAAGAGACGAGCAUGUGUACAGCACCACUGACAAUUACGAGAUACCACAAAUAUAGACUUAACAGGAUAUUGACACUGGCC